rnacentral:lncRNA from 1 species
ACUAUUGCUCUAUCAAGCAUCUCCUUGGCUUGUAAACAGAUAGCUUCGUUGCUCCAAAGAUCAAGCAUUAUUAAUCUCACCGGCGGCCAAGGUACUAUCAAUGUCCAAGGUGAAGACCAGAAGAAGCUGGACGUUAUAUCCAAUGAGGUUAGUCUAUGUUUCCAAUGGGUUUUAUUUAUGUCGUUUGGUAACAUGAGACAAAAAUACCAUGACAUGUUAUGAUGUUUAUUCACUAACCCAAGUUACAUAAUAUAAGUUUAGUUGUUCUGCAACUGCCUAAGAUCAAGUGGACGAACAGGGAUUAUAGCAUCAGAGGAAGAAGAUAUACCUGUUGCAGUUGAAGAAACUUAUUCUGGAAACUACAUUGUUGUCUUUGAUCCUAUUGAUGGAUCAGCCAAUAUUGAUACUGCAUUAACAACUGGAUCAAUCUUUGGCAUAUAUGGCCCUGACG